GUCCCGAUCACUACUGCGUCUUUAGUUUUCAUGUUCCUCUUUUGCUGCUCUUCCAGCAUUUUCCUCUUUCGCCUGUCAUUUCACGUACGGCUCUUCAUCUUCUGCACAUGCAGGCCAGCUUACGACCUUGUCAGCUAUCACUUUGUCUGUCCUCCUUUCCUGCGUACACUGGUCCGGUUUCCACGUGCGUUUCCAGUUUCUUUGUUACCCUUUUGUGUCCCUUUUUAUUUUUGUUGCCCGUUUGCCUUUCUGGCCCCUUUCAAAAGCUCCGCGCCCGGGCCGCAUGUUUCGCAAAACAAAAUCUGCUUGUAUCGGGUACAGUUUCCAGAACGAAAUUCUGCUCUCCGACUGAACUGGAAACAGGACGUCUUUCACGUGUUGGCGGACUGUCGAGUGUGCAUAUUGUUGGAGCUAAAAAAAAAAAAUGCUUUAUUUGACUGAUCUUAAUGUAAUCGUCUGCCAACAUUUCUAAGAAAAGAACCUUUGGCUUUUGGUAGGCAGUGCCGCUUUGAGUAAAGCUGAAGCUGCUGCCAUGUUUUGUUUGUAGGGCAGGAUUAACUUGGCAUGACAGCAAUAAGAGGUCCAUUGGGAUGCCAUUAGAUAUUACCAUCUGGUUGGCAGAUCCACGUCUGACUGCAUGGCAAGAAAUUCACCAAUCACAGAUCUUCAGGAGACUGCAGGAAGACUCCCUUCAAAUGUUUCAACCAUAAAUAUGCUUGCGAGACAAAGUAAAUAUGAUUCAAAUGUACAUUUGGUGCUCUGUGUUAUAUUUAAAAAGUUGUAUUAAAGGCAAAUUUAAAUUUUU